ensembl:lncRNA
GCUUCCCGUGGGAACCCCGUGCUGAAAAUCCGGGAUUCCAUCCAGGAAUUCCGGGAUUUCCCGCAGGAUCCCUCCUUUCCCAUCCUGAAAAUCCGGGAUUUCCAGCAGCAUCUGGAAUCCCAUCCCAGAAAUCCGGGAAUUCCGGGAUUUCCAGCCGGAUCCGGUCCUUCCCGCGGGAAUUCUGGGAAUGCUCGGAGGAGCGCGAGGGAAUUGCUCGGACAGGCGGGAGGAAAUUCCGGCUUUUUUCGGGAGCCGGCGGCGCCGGAGCCGCAGCUGCGCUUCCCGAGGCCGCUCCCGGCGUUUUUCAUGGAAUUCUUUCCCAGCUGUUCCCUCUCCGCUUCCAGGGGUUUUUCGGGAUCACCCCCCGUGACCCCGCUCCGGCUUUUCCAGAGGAUUUCUGGGAUCCACGGGGGGAAUUUGGGAAUCCCAAAAGCCCCAAGUGGGAUCCCUCGGGAUCGNNNNNNNNNNGGUUCUCGGCUGGAAUUUCUGUUUUCUCCUGCUGGGACUCCUCUUUUUCCAGCUGGAAUUCCCAUUCCCCAGCCGGAAUUCCCAUUCCCAAUCCCAGUUUUCCCAUUUCCCAGAGCCGGAAUUCCUGUUCCCGAUCCCGCCGUUCCCGCUCCCAAUCCUGUUUUUCCCGCCGUUCCCAGUCCCAUUCCCGCCGUUCCUGAUCCAAAUCCCACCAUUCCUGAUCCCGUUCCUGUUCCAAAUCCCGCCGUUCCCAAUCCCGUUCCUGAUCCCAUUUCCGCUGUUCCCAAUCCCGUUCGUUCCCAUUCCCGUUCCCGUUUCUAUUCCCAUUCCUGUUCCCAAUCCCAUUCUUGCUGUUCCCAUUCCCAAUCCUGUUCCCAAUCCCGCCAUUCCCAUUCCUGUUCCCAAUCCCACCGUUCCCAUUCCCAAUCCCAUUGUUCCCGUUCCCGUUCCCAAUCCCGCCGUUCCCGUUCCCGUUGUUCCCGUUCCCGAUCCCGUUCCCAUUCCCAUUCCCGCUGUUCCCGUUCCCGAUCCCAUUCCCGCUGUUCCCAUUCCCGUUCCCGUUGUUCCCAUUCCCGCCGUUCCCGUUCCCAAUCCCGCCAUUCCCGUUGUUCCCAUUCCCGUUCCCGUCCCCAUUCCCGCCGUUCCCGUUCCCAUUCCCAUUCCCGUUCCUAUUCCCGUUGUUCCCAUUCCCAUUCCCAUUCCCGGUGUUCCCAUUCCCGUUCCCGUUCCCAAUCCCGCCGUUCCCGAUCCCAUUCCCGAUCCCAUUCCCGUUGUUCCCGUUCCCGUUCCCGAUCCCAUUCCCGGUGUUCCCGUUCCCGUUCCCGUCCCCAUUCCCGCCGUUCCCGAUCCCAUUCCCGAUCCCAUUCCCGGUGUUCCCAUUCCCAUUCCCGAUCCCAUUCCCGCCGUUCCCGUCCCCAUUCCCGCCGUUCCCGAUCCCAUUCCCGGUGUUCCCAUUCCCGUUCCCGCCGUUCCCAUUCCCGUUCCCGAUCCCAUUCCCGGUGUUCCCAUUCCCGUUCCCGAUCCCAAUCCCGCCGUUCCCAUUCCCGAUCCCAUUCCCGCUGUUCCCAUUCCCGUUCCCGAUCCCAUUCCCGCCGUUCCCGAUCCCGUUCCCGAUCCCAUUCCCGGUGUUCCCAUUCCCGUUCCCGAUCCCAUUCCCGGUGUUCCCGUUCCCGUUCCCGAUCCCAUUCCCGGUGUUCCCGCUGCUCCAGGCCCCUCUCCGCAGCACUACGUGGCCGUGUCCAGCCCCACCAACACCACGCAGCUGCUGCAGGCGGUGCUGGGAAACCUCACCGGGGCCAGCGCCAACCUCAGCCGGGAGCAGUGCCAGGAUCCCGGGAAAACCCCGGGAACGGAGCCCGAGCUGUACGAGUACUGGUGGGNNNNNNNNNNCCCAAUAUCCCAAAUCCCCAAUAUUCCAAAUUCCCAAUAUCCCAAAUUCCCAAUAUCCCCAAUCCCCAAAUCCCAAUAUCCCAAAUCCCAAUAUCCCAAAUCCCCAAAUUCCAAUAUACUCGAUCCCCAAAUCCCCAACAUCCUAAAUCCCCAAUCCCAAUAUCCCAAUUCCCCAAAUCCCAAUUCCUCAAUAUCCCAAUUCCCCAAUAUCCCAAUUCCCCAAAUCCCCAAUAUCCCCAAAUCCCAAAUUCCCAAAUCCCAAAUUCCCAAUAUCCCAAAUUCCCAAACCCCCAUUCCCGUUUUCCAGCUGCUGACGCUGGCCCUGGGGGUGCUGGUGCUGCUCCUUCAUCCCAGGGAUCCCUGGAGAUCCCAAAUCCCAAACAUCCCAAAUCCCAAUUCCCCAAUUCCCAAAUCCCAAAUCCCCAAAUCCCAAUAUCCCAAAUCCCAAAUCCCCAAAUCCCAAAUUCCCAAGUCCCCAUUCCCGUUUUCCAGCUGCUGAC